rnacentral:rRNA from 1 species
AUUUAGUAAUUAAAGAAACUAUUAGGGAUGCCUAGUAUAUAUGUAAUAAAAGGAAGUAAAAAACUAAAAGUAUAUUAAAUAAUCAGAAUAAUAUACAAUCCUAAGGAAAACCUAAAUUCAUUACUACGUUGAGAAGUAAAACAUUACAGUAUCAAUAGGAAAGGAAAUCAACCGAGACUUUGGAAGUAAUGGUGAGUGAAACCAAAAUAGCUAUUAAUAAAUUCUAUAUUCUAUAGUGGGAAUAAAAAUAAAAGUCUUUUUUUAGAUAAUAAUUUAUUAAUACACAUCUAGAUUAUAAAAUUUCCGCGGAGCGAUUUAUAAUAUAAUAUUUUGAAAUAAAUAAAAUACUAAGUUUAUGUAUUUUAAGCUCAAAAGGGGAAUUACUUUUUUACAAAGGGUAACUAACCAUAUAUCAAAAAGGGCUACCCCAUCUUAUUAUCAUAUGAUAAUGAAAAUAAGACUAGCUCUUUAGGCUUAAUAAACAAUAACAGGUAGUAUUCCAUAGAAGGUUAUAGCCCAGUAUUAUUAUAAUGUUCGUAAAUCUACAUAGGCUUUGUCUAUACAUAUAUAUAUACAAAGAUUGAACGGUAUUUGCUUUUAUUUGAGUAAGGAAAAAAGUUAUAUUAUAACAAAAACUUAUAGAAGAAUAAUUAAGCAACAAAAAAAUUCUGUAGAGAGGCCACAAUCCUUUUCUGCGGUAUAUUAGAAGAGAAUUAAAAUGAAUAGUAGGUCAUAUUUAUACAAGAUUUUUAAUUAUAGUAAAUUAAAAAGAUAGAAAUAUUAUAUAUUAUUUAAUUUUAAUUUUACUUAAAUAAUAAGUACUAAGAGGACGUCAGCCUUUUAGGAAAACAGGGGUACCAUCCUCUAAAGCUAAGUAUAACAUGUAUAACAAUAAAGAAGAGUAACGUGAGUGAAAGGUGAAAAGUAAGUAGAUGACUAGUUAAAUAGAUUCUGAACUAGUAGUUUUAUAAGCAGUUAAAGUUCUAUAAGUUAGAAUAAUAACGUACCUUUUGCAUAAUGGGUCAGCGAGUUAAUUUUUAUAGCAGGACAAAUAGUCUAAGUGAAAGCGACUGCAUAAAUAUUUUAUAGAAAAUAUGAGAUAGUGUAAUUCUGUUUAGACUUACUUAGUAUAUAUAAGCAAAAUAGUCGAAACAAAAUUAAUAUAGGAUACUAUAUUAAUUUGCUUUUUUGUCUUUGCUUUUUUUAUAUAAAAAAAGUUGGUCGGUUCUGCCGAUUAAGAUUAAUAAGAUAAGUUUUUACAGGUUUUUUAUUUAUUCUAGAACAUGUUUGAAGAGACAAGUUUAAAAUUAAUUAUGCAGAUUAGUUAUAAAAAUUAGACCCGAAGCCAAGUGAUCUUACUAUGAUCAGGUAUUAAAUAUAUAAUGACCGAACAAGUGAAUGUUGCAAAAUUCUUUGAUGAAUUGUAGUAAGGGGUGAAAUGCUAAUCUAACUUGGUUGAUAGCUGGUAUUCUGCGAAACCUAUUUAGGUAGGAUGUUUAUAAUAUUAGUAUAUUUUUUUUGUUUAGCUUAAGCUAUCUUACGUUCUUUUAUAUAUACAUAUAAACUUUUUAAACAUAUAAAGAUACUCUCUUUAUAUAUUUAAAAAGAUUAAGUCCCCUUGGGGAUCAGAACGUAAAAAUCAUGCUAAUAGAUUAUUUUUUGUACAGCACUGAUCAUCAUAUGUUAUAUUUAUAUACUAGAAUUAAACUUCUAAUAUAUAAACUUAUAUACUAAAUUGGGGGAUUCUAAAUUCUACCAUUGAUGGUUAACCUCGGAAUAAAAAUAAUUGAUUAUAAACGUACAGUCUAUUCUUGAUAAGGUGGAUAGACAAAAGGGAAACAGCCCAGAACAAAAGUUAAGGUCCCUAAAUAUUAUUUAGUGAAAAUAAGAAUGUUUUUUUUCCUAAUACAACCAUUAAGUAGGCUUGGAGGUAGCCAUCUUUUUAUGAUAGUGUAACAACUCAGUGGUCUAACUAUAAGUAAAUUAUAUUGGAAAAAAGCGUCUACAAUUUAUUGGGUCUUAGAUAAUAUACCUAUACUUUGUCUAUUUUAUUUCAGCCUUUUUGCUAAUUCUUACCUAGAAGGACACUGUUCUUUUUUUUUUAAGAAAAACGUAAGAGAAAGGCAUAUAUAUAAUAAAAAUAAAAUGAGGGUAGCAGAACAUUUAGUAUAAUAAUGAAAAUUUGUAUUUAUUGAUAAAUUGGAAAAUACUAAAGAGAAAAUGCUGACAUGAGUAACGUAGAAAGGGAUUAGAAUAUCCCUCACCGAAAACGAAAGGGUUUCAUAGAUAAGUUAAUCUGCUAUGAGUUAAUCGGUUUCUAAGGCAUAUAUAUGACCAUAUAUAUCUGAUGACAUUAAAACUUUUUAUUCUAUAUCGUCUACCAUUUUUAUAUAUGAAAAGACAAAGAGAAUAAAAUAAGAGGGGGGAGUUAGACUUCUGUCCUAUAUCAAGAAAUUAAUGAUAAAAAUAAUAUCUAAAUAAUACUGUAGCUAAACUUUUUUAAAAAACUUUGUAGAAGCUACGUUAUCUUAUUUAUAUAAAAUUUUAUAAACCGUACCCUAAUCCGACACAGGUUCGUAGGUAGAGAAUACUAAGGUGUAGAGAUAAUACUUGUGAAGGAACUCGGCAAAAUGUAUCCGUACGUUCGACAAUAAGGAUAACCAUUUUAUGUAUAUUUUUAUACAUACAAUGUGUGACACAAAAUCGAGAGCUGCGACUGUUUACCAAAAACACAGCAACUUGCUAAGACAUUUAGUAUUUGUAUAAGUUGUGAACUCUGCCCGAUGCCACAUAGUAUAAAAAAGAUGAUUUUAUGUCAUUAAUCGACACUGUGGUGAAUGGCGGUCUUAACUAUAAGGAUCUGAAAGUAGCAAAAUUCCUUGGCCAUUAAAUGUGGUCCUGCAUGAAUGAGGUAACGUGGCUCUGCUGUCUCCACAAGUAUCUCAGUGAAAUUGAAUUAGCCGUGCAGAUGCGGUUUGUCUUCAGGUAGACGGGAAGACCCUAUGCAACUUUACUGUAGUUUGAUAUUGUUUUUUCGUUCUUUAAGUGUAGAAUACAAGGGAGUAAAUACUUUACGUCAGUGAAAUACCUUGAUUAAUAGAACAAAAAAACUUACCAAAAUAAAUUAGAAGGGCAAUGCUCUUUAAGAUUUUGGGAAAAUGUCAAAUUGUCAGUUUGACUGGGACGGUAGCCUCUAAUAAAGUAUCAGAGGCCUUCAAAGGUAUGUAUAUAUUGGUCAGAAACCAAUAAAUUAUGAAUAAUUUAAUAAAAUAUAAUGAUAAAACAUACUUAACUGAAAGAUUGAUAAAUCGAUCAGAUAUGCAAAUAGGACAUAGUGAUCCGGUAAUCCUUAAUGGAAUGAUUAUCGCUCAAGAAAUAAAAGUUACGCUAGGGAUAACAGGUUUAUCGUUUGCGAGAGUUCAUAUUGUCCAAACGGUUUGACACCUCGAUGUCGACUCAUCUCAUCCUCCAGGUGUAGUAGCUUGGAAGGGUUCAGCUGUUCGCUGAUUAAAGAGGUACGCGAGUUGGGUUCAAUACGACGUGAGUCAGUAUGGUCCCUAUCUUCUGAAGAUAUAAAUAAUUGAAAGAGAACCUUUAAUUAGUACGAAAGGACCAUUAAAGAUGAUUCAAUAGUGUACCUAUUGUAUAAUAUCUAUACCCAUUUAUUCUUAUAGAUUGAAAUCUAUAAAUAUAUAAAGUAUAGAUAAAGCAUAGUAGGGUAGCUACAAUCAUGAUAGAUAAGUGCUGAAAGCAUCUUAAGCACGAAGCACCUCUCUGUAAAUUCUAAUAAAUAAGAAAAUGAUCAUUUCUUACUGAUUAU